rnacentral:lncRNA from 1 species
CAGGAUACAAAAGUGCAUCCUCGAUUGUAAUCGUUGUACCCAUAGGGAGCGUAAUAAUGGCUCUUCCAGAGCCUGCUAUUGCGGCAUCACGUCCAGCGAUUGUUAAAACAUUUCCUUUGCUCUUUGUGAGAGUUUGGAAAUAUUUUAUUUCCCUGAGUAUAGAGUUAGUGGCGCCACUGUCCACUAGGCACAUUUCCUCAUUGAUCGGAUUGACUCCCGUACAAUCUAUGAAAAUAGAAAAUAAAAUAGAGAAUGAAAUUCUCAACAUGAAUAUAUAUAAAAUAUAAACAUUUAUUAAUGUGGAAUUGUGCAUAAGUCAAUGAACAUAAAACAGAGUGCAGCAAAAACAAAUUGUCAAUUAUUACAAUCCCAAAGGCAAAUCAUAAAACUAAAAUCUCAAAUGACUAUCAAUCUAGUUGUAGUCACCGAGCAGAUCAUCAGAAUUGUAUUCAAUGAUCAUGUUGUUGUUGGAGUCAUUUGCCAUGCCAUCAGGUGGAAGAGGCGCCAUUGUGUUGCUCGGUCCCGCUAGGACGGGGUUGGAACAUCCUGGGGCUGCCAGAUCAUUGAAGUGUGCUUCAAACGGUUCUCCACCUUGGUUGGAGCGUCCUUGGUUGGAGCGUCCUCGUCCCAUGGAAUGCA